GACGAACGCUGGCGGCGUGCUUAACACAUGCAAGUCGAACGGUAAGGCCCUUCGGGGUACACGAGUGGCGAACGGGUGAGUAACACGUGGGUGAUCUGCCCUGCACUUCGGGAUAAGCCUGGGAAACUGGGUCUAAUACCGGAUAGGACUCCGGACUGCAUGGUCUGGGGUGGAAAGCUUUUGCGGUGUGGGAUGGGCCCGCGGCCUAUCAGCUUGUUGGUGGGGUGAUGGCCUACCAAGGCGACGACGGGUAGCCGGCCUGAGAGGGUGACCGGCCACACUGGGACUGAGAUACGGCCCAGACUCCUACGGGAGGCAGCAGUGGGGAAUAGUGCACAAUGGGCGCAAGACUGAUGCAGCGACGCAGCGUGAGGGAUGACGGCCUUCGGGUUGUAAACCUCUUUCAGCAUCGACGAAGCGAAAGUGACGGUAGGUGCAGAAGCAGGACCGGCCAACUACGUGCCAGCCGCCGCAGUAA
rnacentral:rRNA from 1 species